AGGCGUUCCCAGAAAAGAGGGAGCAUGGCACAGCUGCUUGGAGCAAAGGGCCACUACCAAAGGUUUCGGGAAGCCGGAGGAAGCUUUGCUCUGCUGCAGAGAGC
rnacentral:lncRNA from 1 species